ensembl:lncRNA
UGUGGAUUGCCUGGAAAUUUACAAGUCAGUUUGAACCUGAUUUAUUGAGACUUUAUGAAAAGUAAAAAAAAAAAAAAAGUCACCUAUCCAGUUUCCUGACAAUCCUAGGUUAAAGAUUGAUGAAAACAGGCUUUUCUGUUUCAAACACUGACCCUGACAACUGACUCUACUGCUUUCACAACAUGUUUCAUGGGAGUUUUGAACAUCUUUUUCUAAAAUCCGAACCUCUGUCUCCCUUUGUCUUGUCUGUCUGCUGAUUUAGACAAGCUGUGUCAUAUAUUUUUUGUCAUUGUGGAUAUUUGUUGCUUGUGUCAUCUAUUCCAGCAGUGGUGGCAAUGGGGCCAAGUUUGGUCUCUAUUAACUUGUUUUAUCAGCCACCAUGGGAAAUGGGGGACGUGCCUGCAUUCCACCUUGCCAGUGUGUGCUGUAGAGGAGAAAAUGUGAGUGGUUCUAUGCACAUCUAUCCACAUUGCCUGAAAUGCAAUUCAACUUAGAUGAUCUCCCAGAAGGAUCUGCAGGGCAUUAUCUUUUCACAUGGUGGCAACCCUUGCUUUUGCAAUUCAAGAACAGAACAAAUCAACCUGUCCUCUGACCCAAACCUCCAGUGGACAACUCUCUCUACAGGAAUCUGCAGGCACUACCAUCCCAGCGCCUGGUAUAAAGACAAAGGUUAUUGGUAGUGGAGUUGAACAGAACUGGAUUCAACAGAUUUCAGUUCAACUAGUCUCUUACCGUCUCUGAGUCUCAGUUUUCUUAUCUGUAAAAAUAAGAUUUAUCCCUAUUAAAUGACUGUUUUAACUUUAAAUAAGAUAGCAAAGUGACUCUCCUAGCAUACUGCCUGGCAAAAAGUAGGUGCCAGAUACAUGUUAGUGAGAUCAACAUGUUGAACAAGCACAACUUGUGAUGUAUUUAAGACAACUUUAUUUUUACUUCGCAUGGUGCCUUUGAACUCUGUUCUGGGGUUGUUCUGGGAAUAUUCCCUUGACCCAGAUGAAAAGUCAGGCAAGCCCAUGACUUUUAUGCUUUUUCCCAGGAAAGUGACAUCGUUGACCCCCUUGAAGUCAAAUAAUCGUGAAUCAGAAGACAGAAUGCUUACACUGGUCUGGGACCUGGAGGCAACUGGGCACCACUGGGCUUGGAAGGGAAUCAUUGUGCUGACUACAGAUGUAAUCUCUGAGACUAGACCACCAGAAAAAUCCUCGACUUGGUCACCGGACCGCUGUGAAGCCUCACAGCCGGCGAACCUGCCAUCGCCCUGUCAGCUCUAG